GAUGAACGCUAGCGGCAGGCUUAACACAUGCAGGUCGAGGGGUAGAAGUUUUCGGACUUUGAGACCGGCGCACGGGUGCGUAACGCGUAUGCAAUCUACCUUUUACAGAGGGAUAGCCCAGAGAAAUUUGGAUUAAUACCUCAUAGUAUUAUGAAAUGGCAUCAUUUUAUAAUUAAAGUCACAACGGUAAAAGAUGAGCA
rnacentral:rRNA from 1 species